AAAACAUGACAGAUUUGAAGAAGAUUAAAGAUACUUAGAACCACAAGAAAAAAAAAACCCUUGUCCUCUUUUCAUCAUUUGCUCAAGAUCCACUUCCUCAUUCAAACCUCAGAGAAGAGAACAGCCUCCACAGAAAUCACCCAGACGUCUAACAGUACGACCUUCUUCAGAGGAUUACCUUAAAGACUGAACGAUUAGUUUUAACUAAAACACUCAGUUUAGUAUUCCUAGUGCCGUCCACAUGGAGACAGAACUUCCAGCAGAGAUCUUCAGUUCUUUCGAGAAAGGCUGAAGAUUUUAACAAGCUUCAGUAGUUGAUCAGAGCUGAAGAACAAACUCAAUUCUAUUGAAGAGGAUCUGCAAUGGGAAGAAAUCGGAAGCCGGGAUGAUUUUUUGUGAUCUUGUGGGCACUUGGUGGCACUUUGGGUUACAUUGGCUGAGUUUGGGAAACGUAUUUGACAAUAAUGGGCUGUCCGAUAUCACGGUCUCCCUCAGCUGACCAGCUUUCUGCUCAGUGUGUGGAUGACCCGAUGGCAUUUAAAGCUGUGAUCGUCUUUGAGGAUCAGGAAUUCCCUAUGCCAAAGCUGCUGCAAGUGGAAGAUAAUCGUGAGUGCAACAAUGGAGAAGAGCUCAUCAGUUAAAAAUAUGGAAACUACUAGAAAUUACAGCUGCUGCAGUAUAUAAUAAACAGUUUCCAGAUUUAUGUUAAGUAUCUAGUGAUGUGUUUUGUAUGAAUGGGUUGUAUGAGAGGUGCUUACCUGAGAACAAAAGCAGCUGGGAUGGGACUUAAAAUUGGCGUUUCCAUCACACACACACACACACUUUAGACAAUUUAGAGAUCCCUGAAAGCCUGAGAGAAACAUGCAACUCCACAAUCAAAGGCUUAAUGAGCAAAUUAUGUCAUGAAUCAUUAUAAAGAGAAAACUACUUUUGUUACAUGGUGUUCACGAGAAAAUUGUCAUGAUCUCGAGAAAGCAAUUUGUUAUGUCGAGAUCACAAGAACAUUGAGAUGUUAUAAGGAGGAAAAAACACUUGUUAUUUCAAGAUCGCGAGAAAAUUAAGUUGUAAUAACGAGAAAAUUUGUGUAAUGCUGAGAUCACGAGAAGUCGUGAUCAAGAGAACACAACUCGUUAUGUCGAGAUCACAAGAAAUUAUAAACGAGUUUAUAAUGAGAAAACAACUUUUGUUACAUGGAGACCACGAGAAAAUUAAGUAAUAAUAACGAGAAAACAAUUUGUGUAAUGUCGAGAUCACGAGAAAUUGAACAAUUUCUGUUAUGUCGAGAUCGCAAGAAAACUGAGUCGUUAUAAUGAGAAAACUACUUUUGUUACAUGGAGACCACGAGAAAAUGCAAUCGUUAUAACGCGUAAACAACCAUUAUUUCGAGAUCACCCGAAAAUUAGGUCGUUAUAAGGAGAAAACGACUUCUGUUAUGCCGACAUCACGAGAAAACAUAUACACUGCGAUAUUACUGCAAGUCUCACAAUUUUUCAAAAAUUACCGCAGAUUUUUGGGCCAUGACGAUUUGGUAUAUGACAUCAUCACAACACGCAUUCAGCCAUCUUUGAUCCACAUGCGUCAAACAAUAUUACAGCUCUCAUAGAAAGUAAUCACAUAUGUGUCUUCACUGGCAGG